AUGUUUCCCAACCAGUUUAUUCUAUUUGAUUCUGUGAAUGCCGGCAAGCCUGCAGCGAGGGCAGAGCUCGGAGAACUGCCUCCUCAUCUUGGCCAAACAAACACUGCUUCCAUGUUUGACUUAUGGCUGAGUCAAUUCAUCUCCCUUCGCAGCAUCCCCAGCAGUUUACACUGGAAACUGGAAGAGGCCAGUGUGUUACCACAGGGCCCUAGCUUAGAAACACAGAUGGUGGAUGAUGAAACUGAGACUACAGGUGAAGAAUUGCCUCCUCAUCUGCGGGAAGAGCCUCCUGAAGUGUCUCCAGAUGUCUGUGUAGAACUUGGCUUCCCUCCUGAAGUGUAGAAACAAGGUGGUAAGGACACUCUAAAAUGCAGAGGCCUCAGCUUUGAGCAUUAGGAACAGUCUGUGGCAGAGGGAUCAGCUAAGGCUCCUGCCACUCUAAAGUUAUCAAAAUGGCAAUGAAUACUCAUAGUAGGUAGAAGGCCUGAUUGCAUCAGCUCCUUUUCUCGCCAGUGUUAACACCACAAUGGUAAGCUGCCUUUAAGCAGAGGCUAAGGGAUCAUUCAUAUAUAACAGCCUAUAAAACUUAUGUAUGGUAUUUUUCCCCCCUUCAUAACAGCACAUUAUUUUCCAACCAUCCAUCAGCAUUUCUCUGGAGCUGAUUCUUGUUCAACUAAAUAGCAUCUUCCUUCUCUGGGCAGAGACCCAACUUGUUUUCCUCCUCCUUUUCUUCAUUUCUAUUCCUCACUGUACUCCAUAUCCAAUGGUAGAUAAAUAAUAACUUCAGU
rnacentral:lncRNA from 1 species